UGAGCUGAGUCACAUCUGCGCUCCCUGAUCACUCGGGUGGGUGGGGGAGACAAUGUAUAGUAACAAGAAAUGAAACACUCUGCUUCACGGGCUAGUGGUUUUCUAGUGGUUUUUUUUUUUUUUAAAGAACAGUGAAAGGACUCGUCUGAAGUUAUUCCGACACGGCCCCUAGUUGCUAGGGCCUAUAUAAAAAAGCAGCUCAAAUGGAAAGUGUCACCCAGGACAGCAUUGGGAGGAAAUGACACCAGGAGACCUUGUUUCAGUGAGAAAUCCCAGGCACAGGGCUGAUCCAGAAGCUGGUCUGGGUUCUGUUUCCCUGCGCAGCUGGGAGGAGACAGAAGCACUCUGGGCCUCCGUUGUUGGCAAAGUGAGUCACACUGGACAGGAGAGUCUGGAAGAAUGGCAGGCACAGCUUGCAAGCGCAUCUGGAGGUGGCUGGAGAGAAACAUGUACUCAUCCGAAGAGGGGACCCAUGACCGUGGUGUGCACAGUACAAGAGCUCGCUUGGGAUCUCUGAUAAAGGAAGUCCACCAUGCAGGGUUGAGCUGAACCACAGAAGCCCAGCCUGGGAGCAGGGCUCCAGGACUCCCCAAGGAUCAGAAACCUCAAUGAUAAAUUUCCGACUGGAUGAUACACACUACACCUGUUCUUCAGCGAUGAUGUAUGGUGUGUCUAACAUCUGCCUAUUAGCAGCUGAAUUCCCUUCUAUGACGUGAUACAUAAUGUAUGGUGUGACACAGCUGGGUAAUAAACAAUGUCAGCUGCGUCCUA